rnacentral:rRNA from 1 species
CAGUAGCCACGGGAAAACGGAGGGUGCAAGCGUUAAUCGGAAUUACUGGGCGUAAAGCGUGCGUAGGCGGUUCGUUAAGUCUGUUGUGAAAGCCCCGGGCUCAACCUGGGAAUGGCAAUGGAUACUGGCGAGCUAGAGUGUGUCAGAGGAUGGUGGAAUUCCCGGUGUAGCGGUGAAAUGCGUAGAGAUCGGGAGGAACAUCAGUGGCGAAGGCGGCCAUCUGGGACAACACUGACGCUGAGGCACGAAAGCGUGGGGAGCAAACAGGAUUAGAUACCCGAGUAGUCCCUGUCUCUUAUAC